GCUUUCGCGGAGUGGAAGAUGGAUAGACAGAAGAAGAAGGCAAGAGUGGAAGAUGAAGAUCGAAUUAGCAAGCUCCCAGAUGAUCUGAUGCAUCGAAUAAUGCUAUUUAUGGACACUCAUCUCGCAGUUCAAACCUGCGUUUUUUCGAAAAGAUGGAAACUUAUUUGGACAACUCUUCCGUUUCUCAAUUUCGAUGGCAAUGAGCAACAUUACAACAAUAUUUCCAAAUUUUUUCAGCAUUUCUUCUCUCGCAGACACGGUAAAUAUCUGGCAAUAAAACUCAAACUUUGUCCUGGUAAUGCCCUGAAUCUACGUUCAAUAAAAAAGUAUGUUAGGUAUGCUAUUUCACACAAUCUUAACGUCUGCACGUCAAGUUGGAUCGAUGUUGUUCAUUAUCUACAUUUAGCUCUAGUUCUUUGAAGGAACUUAAUCUCACGAUGAAAUCUGAAUUUUGUAAAAUUAUGACAUCAGAUUGCGUAAAACUGCCUAACUUGACAACACUAGAUUUGAACCACAACAAUUUUAAGAAAAUCCCCAAAUUUGAAGAAUCAUUUUUUGUAUCUGUGCCUGCCUUGACAACUCUGAGACUUAAUCGAUUUGAGUUGCCUGAAAUUUUUUUGCUUGCCUACCUUAACUACACUCUGCCUAGAAUUGUGCACUUUGCCUGAACGGGUGUGGGAUUUUCCUGCUUUAUUAACUUUACAAUUGAUUAAUGUGGUGUUUUCGGAGAGUAUGAGUGACUACUUCCUUGCACUUACAAGUCUGCAAAAUCUUACAUCUAUGGCGUGAAGAACAUAGGUUGUUGUAUUAUAUCUAGUCCCUUAUUGUUGAACCUGAAAAUCAGGGUCUCAUUGUACUCUUUAAAUUUAACCAAUGGAAAAGUUGUGGUGUUGGCACCCAAACUCCGUAAUUUCUAUGCUAUUGGUUUUUUCUUGGCAAGAUUUGAAAGUUCUGAGUUGGAGAAUGUAACCAUCAAAUUUUGGGAUAACGACUAUAUUACACCAUGGCGGACGUUAAAAGAAUAUCAAGUCCUGUUUAAAGUUAUGCUCUCACAAUUGAGUAGCGCCAAGAUUCCUGCUCUUGACAUGUGGAUCCUUCAGAUAUCACUCUAUUUGAUUUUUUAUAUAUAUAAAGAAUUCUCGGACAACUAUAUUACUAGAGGUCUCUUUAAGUUGAGUUUUAGCCUAUCAUUAGAGGUUAAAUCUUAAAAUUGGCUUGGCUAUGUUCACCAAUUAUUAACGUAAUUGUAUCUAUAGUUACUAUAUAAAAAUUCAUCUCGUUCAUCAAUUUUCUGAAUGCACGGCAUGUAGGGCAUCUUCUUUUUCUAACCGAUGGAUAAAUACUCGAGGAAGAAAGUACACAAGCAACUGACUUUUGAUCUAUGUUAAAUCAUUUUGAUAUUGGCUCAUAUUAGAAAAGUCAUUUGACAAAUAUUUAAUAUUCUACUUGAUAUUGUUUGAAUUAUUAUAGGCACUAUCCCAAAUCUCCCAUGUUCUUCUACAUGUGCGCUGUCCAUUUCAUUCCUUAAGGUAUUUGAAGCUACCACAUGGAUAUGAAGAAUCAAGUAUAUCUAGACACGUCAGAUGGUAAUUGCUCAGCGGUUCUCCAAGUGCCAUCAUCGUCAAAACAUUUCCUAUGGAUCAUCUGACUAGUCAAACCGCACCAGCUGUUUCCUUAGUAACACAAAAUGGGGUGCUAGAAGAGCCCUUGGCAAAAAGGGUUUCAAUUGUGUAGGUGGAGAAUUGUGCAGCAGAUGCUGGCAAGGUUUCGCCAAUUGAAGCUCAGAUUUCGGGGAAUAGCAAUGAUCGGGCAAAAACUGGAGAAAAAAGUAAUUUUGUCUUAUGGUAGGGCCAUGAGGUUAACUCUGAGUUUGUAAGCAUGCUUGAUCUCAUCAUGGAUAAGUAUCCACAGUCUUUUAAGAAGUUAACCAACAAAAAUAAGAAAAUUGUAACAGUGAAGCUGAAUACGUUGGCUUCCUUAGUAAAUGCCUUUACAACGACUUUGAUGACUGAGGUCGACAAUGAGAUGCUCACUGAGUUUGAGGCUCUCUUUACAAAUUAUAAAAUAUGUUGAAGACGACAGAUUCCGAGAGCUUACAGACAGUGGGCACUAGCCACUCUGCUACUGCUUCCUAUAUUGGAGAUGGUUUACUGUAAGUCUCUAAGCUUUUUUUUUGGCAAGAAUUGACAUAGAAUGCUUGCGAGAUAAUUGUUGUUAGGCUACUACUUCACAACACUGCAAGGGAAUCUAAUAUUCGGGGUAGAUUUUUCAGAUGCCAUGUUUACUAUUACUAUGCAAUUUGAUACCAGUGUAAACCCUGUUGCAAUCUCUUUUAAUGUUAGACAUGGAGAACCAUAAUUUCAGAUAUUGAUAGGCUUUAAAUCAA